UCUGUCCAUGCAGCUAAGAAUGCAGCUUCUAAUUCCCUCUUCCUUGUGUUUACAUGAACUUUCCUUUGCAUUUCAGAAGCCUUAUGGAAAGAUUCCUGUGGCUGACCCAGGAGUAGUGGUGAAUUUCUCCAUCAAAAUAUCUUCACAACAACGCUACAAGGAACAUGAAUAUGGCAUCUUUUCCAGAAGUGUGGAGCAAACUAACUUUGCGGACCAAGGUGAAAGCAAGUCAUGGAAGUAGCUCAUAAUUGUGCCGCUGUGUGUACGGUGGUACAGUGCUCAAUUCAAGCCCAGGAUGUGCAAAGCAAGACAAAAAGCAAUAGUAUGUGGAGGAGACUGCUAGGAGGUGCAAAGUGAUAACCACAGAAACAGAAGGGAAAAUAAUUGAGAGACUGGACUGAGGUGAAAAGAUGGUAGAUGUCGCUCGUUCUUUUUGUGGGAGUGUGUUUGGUUUUUUAUGCUUUACAUUGUAUAUUUGUCUCAAAGGAGUAUCAGACUCACUUCGUCAGACUUACAAACAAAUCCAACCUAUGUUUCAUUGUACCUGAAUGGAACUCCUGUCGGGAACCUACUGUACACAUGUUACAUAAGUACUCCAUGCAUAUUUAUUUAUAUUGUAACAUUAAAAAAAGCUAUAAAAUACAAAAUAAAAAGCUCAACCCUGUAUAGAAUUUUACCUUACAGUUUUAAACAUUGUAUAAGAUAUAAUCCAAAUUUUUAUCACUGAGAAAGAAAUUCACUUGUACCAAUUAGAAGUCACUGCAUUUCUCUAAACUACUGAUAACCACUACUCUAUUUCCUAUCUUUAUGCAGAUUUUCCUACUAUGGAUAUAAAUAGAAUAAUAUAAUAUAUGACAUUUUAUUCUAAUGUUUCACUUAGCAAAGUAUUUGAAAUAUUUGCCCAUGUUAUACCAUGUAUCAAAACAUGGAUGAAUAUUUUACUUAACUGGUUAUACCAUAUUUUGUUUAUCCAUUUAUCAGCUAAUAGACAGUUGAGUUGCUUCCAAAUUGGAACUAUUGAAUAUGCUGUUGUGAAUAUUUAUGUACAAUAAAUUGUGUGAACAUGUUUUUGAGUCCCUUUGUUACAUGCUUAGAAGUAGAAUUGCUGGGUAGUAGUGUAACACUUUAUUGGUUUGAAGAAUUACCAAAAUUUUUUCCAAGAUAGCUAUACUAUCUUACAUUAAUAUCAGCAGUGAUGUGGGUUUUGACUUCUCCACUGCUUUACUUACAUUUAUUUUUGUCCAUCUUUUUUAAUGGUAGCGAUCUUACUGUGAACGAAUACUGUCUUGUUUGUAUCUCUCUAGUGACUCAUGCUGAACACCUUUCAUGGGGUUUGUGUAUCUUCUUUUGAAAAUAUAUCUACUUAAAUUUUCCCGUUUCUUAAUUAAUAUAUUUGGCUUGUUACUAUUGAACUGUAAGAGAUCUUUAUGUGUUCUAGAUACUAAAUUCUUGUGAGAUCUAUGAUUUUCAAAAAUUUUAUUUCACUGUGUAGCUUUUUCUUACUUUCCUGAUAGAGUCUUUUGAAGAAGAAACAUUGUAAAUUAUGAUGAAGUCCAAUUUAAGUUCCUUUUCUUUAGUUGCUGGUACUGUAAGUGUUAUAUUUAAUUGUCACCUACUAUUAGAGAAGAGAAAGGCAAAAGGAGGGUGUUAAAGCAGGGAGGGCAGACAGGGUAGGAGGGAAGGCUGAUACAACUAAAGCUUGACAUGUGUGGAAAUGUCACAGUGAAUUCUAUUAAUUUGUAACAUUGAUAUUUAUAAUUUUAUCCUAGGUCAUGAAAUUUUCUUCUAUGAAUUUUAUAGUUCUGUAUUUAUGCUUAGAUCCUUGACAUUUUUUAAUCAUAGCCUUCCAGAUAUUCACUGUGCUAUUGAUAAAGGACAGCUGAGGACCUGAAGGAUCGGAACUGAAAGUAGUCAAGGAAUCAAAGCCCAGCAUAAAAGGCACCCUUUCAAGGUUGAAAGAGGGAGUAAAAGUCAUCACAGAGAUUUGCAUCGGUCCCCUACCUCCUGUAUGGCAAUGUUCACCCACCAGAACAAGAAGGGAGCGUGCGCAAACUUCAGUGCAUGGGAAAACAUCGGGCGAACACCCUGUGUGCUGGGCUGGCUCUAGAUGGAGAUAUUAUAAAUGUGAGUCCUGUUGUCCAGUAGACAAGUGAACAAUUCUGUGAAAAAUUACACCUAAUCAAGACACUUAGUGACUGAUCUUUUAGUGUCCUUUUAUGUGCUUUAGAAAAGUUGAUUUCUUGCUAGGAUUGUGGCCAGAGGACAGGUCAACCUUGUCUGAACCUGUAACCAAAAUAGAAACCGCAUUGUAUCUAAGCAAAAACUGUUUAACCUGUCAAGUUUCAUAAGUAAUUGCAAAAGUAUACAAUAAAGCAAAAAACAUUUCUCUGCGUCAGAGGAGCCUUGCUCC